GACGAACGCUGGCGGCGUGCUUAACACAUGCAAGUCGAACGGAAAGGCCCUGCUUUUGUGGGGUGCUCGAUUGGCGAACGGGGGAGUAACACGUGAGUAACCUGCCCUUGUCUGUGGGAUAACUUCAGGAAACUGGGGCUAAUACCGGAUAUGAGAUCCUGCUGCGUGGGGGGGGUUGGAAAGUUUCGGCGGUGGGGGAUGGACUCGCGGCUUAUCAGCUUGUUGGGGGGGUAGUGGCUUACCAGGGCUUUGACGGGUAGCCGGCCUGGGAGGGGGGCCGGCGACAAUGGGACUGCGGUACGGCGCAGAAUCCUACGGGAGGCAGCAGUGGAGAAUAUUGCACAACGGGCCGAAGCGUGAGGCAGCAGCGCCGCGUGCGGGAUGACGGCCUUCGGGGUGUAAACAGCUUUCGCCUGUGACGAAGAGUGAGUGACGGUAACGGGUAAAGAAGCACCGGCUAACUACGUG
rnacentral:rRNA from 1 species